rnacentral:rRNA from 1 species
AUUGAACGCUGGCGGCAGGCUUAACACAUGCAAGUCGAGCGGAGUGAUGGUGCUUGCACUAUCACUUAGCGGCGGACGGGUGAGUAAUGCUUAGGAAUCUGCCUAUCAGUGGGGGACAACAUCUCGAAAGGGAUGCUAAUACCGCAUACGUCCUACGGGAGAAAGCAGGGGAUCACUUGUGACCUUGCGCUAAUAGAUGAGCCUAAGUCGGAUUAGCUAGUUGGUGGGGUAAAGGCCUACCAAGGCGACGAUCUGUAGCGGGUCUGAGAGGAUGAUCCGCCACACUGGGACUGAGACACGGCCUAGACUCCUACGGGAGGCAGCAGUGGGGAAUAUUGGACAAUGGGGGGAACCCUGAUCCAGCCAUGCCGCGUGUGUGAAGAAGGCCUUAUGGUUGUAAAGCACUUUAAGCGAGGAGGAGGCUCUUUUGGUUAAUACCCAAGAUGAGUGGACGUUACUCGCAGAAUAAGCACCGGCUAACUCUGUGCCAGCCGCCGCAGUAA